rnacentral:lncRNA from 1 species
GCCCAGCAUAAGCUGCCAGUUCAAUGGUUUCUGUCAAUAGCGGUGUUGCUGUGUUAACAUCAAACAAACAACUGCAUUCUGCCGUGUACCCCUCACAGUGCAAGAGGCCACCAUCACCACCAAGUCUUUUGGGGUUAUUUCGUAGACAUUAGGGGCACCCCAGGAGAUGCCUGGGACAGAACACGAUGUAGAAAAUGCUGUGUGGCUAUCCAGGAAUAAAGAGCCUUAGGAGGAGACAGUACCCUGCCUGCCCUGGCUUGCCUGGGGCCUGAGCUUGCUGAGCCAGGCCCUGCAGUGAGCUGGCCCCCCGCAGCAGGAUGUGCAGUGGCAGGACCCGAGCCUGGCGAUGCAGCAGGAGCCUGUGUCUCCAGCUGGAAGUGGAUAGUUCUUUCUUCCUGAUCCCUCCCAGCUUUCUGUCAAGUUCCAGCUCCUCUAGGAAACAUUCCCUGAUUCCUCCUGCUGUCCUCUGGUUUGAUCAGGCGUGGCCUAGGAAGUCCUCCCAUGCUCCCAGGUGAGUUGUAUGUGUGUUACUUCAAGUGCAGGUGGGUCUGGGAGGAGAUUAAGUUCAAGAAACACUAGUCUGAUGAACCCAGGAAGGCAUAUACCAAAGUAACAGCCAUUAAGACACAAAGAAAAGCUUAGGAGCUUAUGAAAGUGCCCAGCAAAGCCCAGGCCAGCCCAGGCCUCACACUCUUCCCUGGAGUGGGGGUAGGGGAUGAAAAUGAUGGCCCUCCCAAUCCCAG